GGAUCUGAGCAGCAUGGCUGGUGCUAAGCCUGUGGAGAGGGGAAACAGCCCAAUAACAAUCCAGGAAAAGGAGCAUCCUGUUAUUUACUCAUCAGUAUGCCAAGAAGGCACAACGGAAGGCAACUUCUCUUUGAGUGAACCAAUCCUAAAAGAGAGCAAAGUGGCAUCUGGAUAAUGGAGUUUAAAAAAUACCAAGGCACAACAUUCUGUUUGGCUCUGCCUAUCAGCAGGAAUAUAUUUUCUUCAGGAAAACAGACACCAAUCUGCUGUGUCUUUCACUGGCACUGGGGGCUAGCACACAUUACCUUCAGUCCUUGGGCUACCUACAGUCUGUCCGUCUUCCAUUUAUUCUUUUGUAUGUGUGAACUACCUCCAAUCAUUUCUGAUCUAAGUAUGAAUUACUGACAUAAGUUAACUAGGAGAGUAACAUACAGCAAAUAAUAAACAGACGAUGAGCUUUUGGGUACAAAUUUUAUGAAACAUAAAUAUUCAUGCUGGUGUUUAUGCACACAGGAGCUGAGAGCAUUUCCUCUGCUAUCUAGAAGAUGUAUAAAAACUUUGUAUGUUUCUGAUUGCAUUUUCUUGUUGCUUUUACUUUUCUCUUUGAGAUCAGCUCUGUGUUCUCUAUGCCGAACAUCAAACCUCAGUACAUUUUGAUAGCUAAAGUAUUUGUUUCAGCUAAUGAAAAUCUCUCAUGUGGGCUGCUAUUUCCUGUUAAAAGUGGAGUGCCUUUUAUAACUAGAAGAUGGUAUUAGAUUUUUAAUUAUAUGUUGCUGUGUAACACUACUUAAAUAGAACUUGAGAAAUAAUUCUUGUGUAGCAAAUAAGUGAAAUUUAAAGCACGGGUUCCAUUUAAUUAGACAUUUUCUGCUUUAACAGUUGAAUUCCCUACCCAAAUUUCAUUUCCAUAAUCAAGACAUGUUAACAUACUGUUAUUUCAUCAAAACAGUCACUGCAACCUUCUCUUUCCAUAAUUCUAUUUACAUUAAGAUUAAUUGAGAAUAUUUGCAUAAUGCCAAAAGACUGAAGUUUCACACAAGAUGGUAGAAUAUGUUCUCUCCUACCUACCCCCAGUUUUAGUAGUCUAAUCACUAAAGGCAAUGAGUAAGAUUCAACACUGGAAACAGAACUCUUAUUGUGAGCUUUAUGAACGGUGAUGGAAAAUAUAGACAGUGUAGUAAAUGCAGUGAAAAAUAUGUAUUUUUAUUUGUGUUUUAAAAGCCUCAUUUCUCUUUUUGUGAUUCAGAUGCAUCAUGUGAAAAACAUUUGUGUAAAAGCUCUCAUCAAGUGCACCAGUUGAAAAGAGGAGGAAGGAGCAUGGAAAUAAAUGCUUUU
rnacentral:lncRNA from 7 species